UACGUAGGAUGCAAGCGUUGUCCGGAAUCAUUGGGCGUAAAGCGCGCGUAGGUGGCUUCGUAAGUCCGUUGUGAAAGUCAAAGGCUCAACCUUUGAAUGUCAGUGGAUACUGCCGGGCUAGAGUCCGGAAGAGGCGAGUGGAACUCCUGGUGUAGCGGUGGAAUGCGCAGAUAUCAGGAAGAACACCAACGGCGAAGGCAGCUCGCUAGGACGGUACUGACGCUGAGACGCGAAAGCGUGGGGAGCGAACAGG
rnacentral:rRNA from 1 species